rnacentral:rRNA from 1 species
GACGAACGCUGGCGGCGUGCUUAACACAUGCAAGUCGAACGGAAAGGCCCUGCUUGCAGGGUGCUCGAGUGGCGAACGGGUGAGUAACACGUGGGUGAUCUGCCCCUUACUUUGGGAUAAGCCUGGGAAACUGGGUCUAAUACUGGAUAGGACCAUGCUGUAGGUGGUGUGGUGGAAAGAUUAGUUUCGGUAAGGGAUGAGCUCGCGGCCUAUCAGCUUGUUGGUGGGGUAAUGGCCUACCAAGGCGUCGACGGGUAGCCGGCCUGAGAGGGUGGACGGCCACAUUGGGACUGAGAUACGGCCCAGACUCCUACGGGAGGCAGCAGUGGGGAAUAUUGCACAAUGGGCGCAAGCCUGAUGCAGCGACGCCGCGUGGGGAAUGACGGCCUUCGGGUUGUAAACUCCUUUCAGCCAUGACGAAGCCCUUGUGGUGACGGUAGUGGUAGAAGAAGCACCGGCUAACUACGU